AACGCAUCUUGCGCUCCUUGGUAUUCCUUGGAGCAUGCCUGUUUGAGUAUCAUGAGCAAAUCUCAAAGUCAAUUCCUUUUGUUAAUUCAAUGGGUUUUGCUUUGGACUUGGAGGUUCUUGCAGAUUUCACGUCUGCUCCUCUUAAAUGCAUUAGCUGGAUCUCAGUAUUAUGCUUGGUUCCACUCGGCGUGAUAAGUAUCACUCGCUGAGGACACUGUUAAAAAGGUGGCCAGGAAAAUAUUGAUUGAACCGCUUCUAACGGUCUAUUAACUUAGACAAAUCACCCCUUAAGUUUGAUCUCAAAUCAGGUAGGACUACCCGCUGAACUUAA
rnacentral:misc_RNA from 1 species